GACAGAGGGUGCAAACGUUGUUCGGAAUUACUGGGCGUAAAGCGCGUGUAGGCGGCUCUGCAAGUCGGAUGUGAAAGCCCUGGGCUCAACCUAGGAAGUGCACUCGAAACUGCAGAGCUUGAGUCUCGGAGAGGAUCGCGGAAUUCUCGGUGUAGAGGUGAAAUUCGUAGAUAUCGAGAGGAACACCGGUGGCGAAGGCGGCGAUCUGGACGAGUACUGACGCUCAUGCACGAAAGUGUGGGGAUCAAACAGG
rnacentral:rRNA from 1 species